rnacentral:rRNA from 1 species
AGAGUUUGAUCCUGGCUCAGGAUGACCGCUAGCGACAGGCCUAACACAUGCAAGUCGAGGGGCAGCGGGGAGCGAAGCUUGCUUUGCUCCGCCGGCGACCGGCGCACGGGUGAGUAACGCGUAUGCAACCUGCCCGUUUCAGCGGGAUAACCCGGAGAAAUCCGGCCUAAUACCGCAUGUGGCCAAGGGGAGGCAUCUUCUUUCGGCCAAAGGAGGCGACUCCGGAGACGGAUGGGCAUGCGUGACAUUAGCUUGUUGGCGGGGUAACGGCCCACCAAGGCGACGAUGUCUAGGGGUUCUGAGAGGAAGGUCCCCCACACUGGUACUGAGACACGGACCAGACUCCUACGGGAGGCAGCAGUGAGGAAUAUUGGUCAAUGGUCGGGAGACUGAACCAGCCAAGCCGCGUGAGGGAGGAAGGUACAGAGUAUCGUAAACCUCUUUUGUCAGGGAACAAAGGCGGGGACGUGUCCCCGGAUGAGUGUACCUGAAGAAAAAGCAUCGGCUAACUCCGUGCCAGCAGCCGCGGUAAUACGGAGGAUGCGAGCGUUAUCCGGAUUUAUUGGGUUUAAAGGGUGCGCAGGCGGUCUGUUAAGUCAGCGGUCAAAGCCCGGGGCUCAACCCCGGCCCGCCGUUGAAACUGGCAGUCUCGAGUUGGAGAGAAGUAUGCGGAAUGCGCGGUGUAGCGGUGAAAUGCAUAGAUAUCGCGCAGAACUCCGAUUGCGAAGGCAGCAUGCCGGCUCCACACUGACGCUGAGGCAUGAAAGCGUGGGUAUCGAACAGGAUUAGAUACCCUGGUAGUCCACGCAGUAAACGAUGAAUGCUGGCUGUCCGGGGGGAUUGACCCCUGGGUGGCGAAGCGAAAGCGAUAAGCAUUCCACCUGGGGAGUACGCCGGCAACGGUGAAACUCAAAGGAAUUGACGGGGGCCCGCACAAGCGGAGGAACAUGUGGUUUAAUUCGAUGAUACGCGAGGUACCUUACCCGGGCUUGAAAUGUGCAGGACUCAGGCAGAGACGCCUGUUUCUUCGGACCUGCAUGUAGGUGCUGCAUGGUUGUCGUCAGCUCGUGCCGUGAGGUGUCGGCUUAAGUGCCAUAACGAGCGCAACCCUUCUCCCCGUUUGCCAUCAGUUAAUGCUGGGCACUCCGGGGACACUGCCAUCGUAAGAUGUGAGGAAGGUGGGGAUGACGUCAAAUCAGCACGGCCCUUACGUCCGGGGCUACACACGUGUUACAAUGGGGGGUACAGAGGGCCGCUAUCCCGCGAGGGUGCGCCAAUCCUCAAAACCUCUCUCAGUUCGGACUGGAGUCUGCAACCCGACUCCACGAAGCUGGAUUCGCUAGUAAUCGCGCAUCAGCCAUGGCGCGGUGAAUACGUUCCCGGGCCUUGCACACAAAGCCCGUCAAG